UACGGAGGGUGCAAGCGUUAUCCGGAUUUACUGGGUUUAAAGGGUGUGUAGGCGGGUCUUUUAAGUCAGUGGUGAAAUCUCCGAGCUUAACUUGGAAACUGCCAUUGAUACUAUUGAUCUUGAAUUCUGUUGAGGUGGGCGGAAUAUGUCAUGUAGCGGUGAAAUGCUUAGAUAUGACAUAGAACACCAAUUGCGAAGGCAGCUCACUAAACAGAUAUUGACGCUGAGGCACGAAAGCGUGGGGAUCAAACAGG
rnacentral:rRNA from 1 species